ensembl:lncRNA
AUGGGUGCAGUAACCUCACGUGCCUUUGUGCCUCUGUUCUCAGCCUCCUUCAGUCCAUUUCUACAGAUACUUGUCAUCACAUCUUUUAAAAGUAUAUCAGGUUAUAAUCCUAUAAAAACGACCCCCAGGUUUCUCUUUACACUUAGAAUAAAGUCCAGACUCUUGCCGCCUCAAUUUGGACUAGCCAGAAGCACAUGUUCCCCUAUUCCUGUUCUCCACUUUUGUGAGAUCCAGAAUGAGAGGAAGCUAGAAACUUCUGCCAGUUCGAAAGGAAGGUUUUUAUUAGAUCUCCCUACUUCCUCUCCCCCUUCUGAAGGAAGCCUUGGGGUUGUCCGGGGUAACAGAUGCAUGAUCAUGUCCUUAGAAUAAUGAUGAUGAUGGUUGAGCUUCUGUCCUGUGCUGAGCAUUAUUUAAUAUAUUUAUUAUUUGUAUUUUUUAUUUAAUAUAAAUUAUAAGCUUAUUGUCACAGCAAUCCCAUUUUACAGAUUAGGAAAUAGGUUCAGGAAACCAAAGUAACUUGUUCAGAUGUACACCUCUGUUAAUGCUAGAGCUGGAAUGUAAAUCUGGUUGAAAGUUAAGGCCAGUAUUAUAAUCAUUAUGUGACAGUUUUUAUUUUGCCACUUCAGUGAUUCAUGUUGCCUGGGAAAAUGAAGAGAAAUACAAAUGACAUAAAGAAGCUGACCUGACACUUGGGCUUAGACUUGUAGCACAGCUGUACUUGCCUCCAUCCUGGAUCUCCAGUUUAGUUUCUCAAAUGCCUUAGGUAUGACUUUAGUGUCAAACGGUUCAGUUCUUAUAACCACUAAUUAGUAAUGGUAAAAUUGACUAAAGCCCAUUUCCUCUUCUGGAGAAUGGGAAUGCUAAUACUAACAUUAGGAGCAUUUGAGAAAAUCCAGUAAGGUGACUGUAAUGUCUGUAAAGCAUUGAGCACAGUGCCCAGUGGCUAGCAGCCACUCAGGACAGGCUAGAUCCUAUUCUCCCUCUCCAGGCUGCCAGGUGAGGCAAAGGGUCACCUGACCUGACUCCACCCCUUCUCUUGCAUAGUCUCCUGUGCGGCCCUGGAAGCUCUUGCUGCAGUGGCUUAGCAACAGGGUAGGUCAGAGAAUGUGGGUCAGGUAUUAGAAGUGGUGCUUGGGAUCCUCUGGAAUACUAACAGAUGUCUGUGGCACAUACUCGUCCAGUUAUGGAACCUGGAUACCUCAGAGGGGCUCUUUCCUCCGCCCUCUCACCCUUCUGCUGUCUUGGCAUUCCCUCUCACAGGGGCUUCUGGUCAGGCUACUUCUUGGUCUUGUCUGCUGCUGUCCAGUAAGAUGUCUUUGCUCCAGCACCACACUCCCCCAGCUCAUGGGGUGUUUAAGAGAGCCUUCCUACACAAUGGCUGCCAGGAUAAUCUUUCUAAAAUGAACUUGACCUUGUCAUUUCCCUACUUAAAGUGUAAUAGUUUGCAGGACUGAGUGUAAAUUACUCAGCUUUUCAUUGAUCCAGCAAAUACUGAGGCUGGGGGCGGGAGGGUACUGUGUGCCUAGCAUUCAUAUAGACUCAAAGAUACAGCAGUGAUCCAAGCAGAGCCGAAGCCCUGCCCACGAGGAGGGGCCUUAUAUUUCAGGGGCCCUUUACAGCUUUACCUGCCCCCAACUCCCCGCCUACCUCCCAUGCACCGUGCAUACGCUGGUCUCUUCACCUGCUGAGCCUUUGCACAUUAGUCGUGUUACACUAGUCCACUCCUGCCAGAUCCCUCCGUUCCGCCAUCCCCAACCCAUGCCGCCGCUUCAAGACCUCGGGCUCCCCUGCAAAAUGAGGCCCCUCUCCCUGCCAACUGAAGCCCUGUUGCCCCUCCCCUGCCUCCUGGGGAUUGUGAGCUAAGAGCCAGGGGUGAGAGGCUUAGGUCGGCAGCUCCCGCUCGCCUUGGCUGGCCCCUCCACCGCACAGAAAGCGGGGGAGUAGCGUG